rnacentral:rRNA from 1 species
AACGAACGCUGGCGGCAUGCCUAACACAUGCAAGUCGAACGAGACCUUCGGGUCUAGUGGCGCACGGGUGCGUAACGCGUGGGAACCUGCGCUUAGGGUCGGAAUAACUCCCCGAAAGGGGUGCUAAUACCGGAAAAUGUCUUCGGACCAAAGAUUUAUCGCCUUUGGAUGGGCCCGCGUUGGCUUAGCUAGUUGGUAGGGUAAAAGCCUACCAAGGCGACGAUGCAUAGCUGGUCUGAGAGGAUGACCAGCCACACUGGGACUGAGACACGGCCCAGACUCCUACGGGAGGCAGCAGUGGGUAAUAUUGUACAAUGGGCGAUAGCCUGAUCCCGCAAUGCCGCGUGAGUGAUGAAGGCCUUAGGGUUGUACAGCUCUUUUACCCGGGAUGAUAAUGACAGUACCGGGAGAAUAAGCUCCGGCUAACUCCGUG